CGUAGGUGGCGAGCGUUGUCCGGAUUUACUGGGACGUAAAGGAUGCGUAGGCGGAUAAAAUAAGUGAGAUGUGAAAUACCCGAGCUUAACUUGGGGGUGCAUUUCAAACUGUUUGUCUAGAGUACAGGAGAGGAAAGUGGAAUUUCUAGUGUAGCGGUGAAAUGCGUAGAUAUUAGGAAGAACACCAGUGGCGAAGGCGGCUUUCUGGACUGUUACAGACGCUGAGGCAUGAAAGCAUGGGUAGCGAACAGGAUU
rnacentral:rRNA from 1 species